CCAUUAGAAGAUAAGUCUCUUGAGAAUAGCAUGGAAAAAAAAUCAUGUAUAGUUAAUACUUUUUGAGAACUUUUUGUGUGCCUAGUACUGUUCUAAACAGCACAUAAACAUUAUCUAAUUGAACCCUCAUUAAUCCUUUGAAAUAGAUUUUAUUUUUAUCAUCCCCCUUUUGAAGAGGAAAACACUAAGAUUUAAAGAAUUUAAGUUAUUGGGUCAAAGUCAUAUAAUUACUAAAUAGUAAAACCAAGAUUUGAACCUAGGUUUUUUGUUUUGUUUUUCAUUCCAGAUUUCAAGUUCAUAAUUAGUAGAGAAAAAGCCCAGGCUUGGAGCAAGAGAGAGUCAGCUUAAAUUCUUGCUUUGUGCAUAACUUACUAGUUGUAUGAUGUUGGGUAAAUUAUUUGACUUUUCUGAGCCUUGCUCUUCUCAUCUGAAAAAAGAAGGCCAUGAAAUUUUUCUUUAUGUGCCCCCCAGGACAAGGUGACUUAGUGAUGCUGGAAGCUUGUCGGGCUGGACUGGCCUUGCCAAUGGUCACCAAUGGGACUUCCAGUCAGUAUCGCUCAUGAUCCCAGGCUCCGGAUGGGUACCUGGAGCUGUUUCAAAUGCCAAGAACCUUCCUGCAUAGGCUCUCUCUGAAGACAGUUUCUACUGACAUGAGCAUGUGCUGAAGGUAGCAGGAAGGGCUCAUAACCAAAGAGAAUAAUUCCCGCAAAGACUGUCAGUGUGAGGAAGUCUAUGCCCGGGGUGAGCUGAGGUUAGUUCAGGGCAAGGAAGAGAAAUGGGAAGGAAAGGUCUCUUGUCCUCAACACAUUAUGCAAUGUUACAAGUGAAUGAAGAGAAAGCAGAGUGCUGAACUUCUCGCUUGUCCCCUCUCCUCUAUUAAGGAAGAGUAUCUUCAAACUGGAGAGAAGCAAACCAAUAUGACUAAGAGGAACUGUGGAUGUGAUCACUGAACCAUGCCAAUAAUCUCCAUGGAAUCAAGGGGAGCUGGAAAGAUGCCAAAAGAGUCCUUGUUUCUGAGAAGUAGACAUACCCAGGCUCCUGAGUAUGAAAGGACAAAGGAUUUCUGAAAUGAUCCUUGGCAAAAUGUUUGGAUUUUUGGAAUUUUAAAAUGGAUGGCUUAUAAGCACUUAGAAAGUUAAAUAGAGAUCACUGGGAGCCAACAUAGGUUUAAUACAAAGACAUACCUAAAUCAACCAUUUCUUUCUAAAAUAAUGAGUUUUAAGUAAAACUUACCCAUAUAACAAGAGGUGACAACUGACAUCUAUGUGGUGAUUAACACUACAUAUGUGACUCAGCUGAUGCUCAUAUCUUCAUAACAAAUCUUUGAGUCAGGUACUAUUGCUGAAUUUGACCCUCAUUUAACAGAUAAUAAAACUUUAAAAAUGGAAUCUUAGAAAAGUUAAGCAAUUUAUAGAAUCUUACUCAGCUAGUAAAUUACAGGAUUCAAGAGAUUUUCUAACUCCAAUGCCAACACUUAUUUAUUAUGUUAUACUUUAUGUAAAUAUUGUGUAUCUUGAUUUCAACCAGGCAAUGACCAACUCUUUAUUGAUAUCUUCAUGGAAAGUAUGGGACAUAAAGACUGUAAAUAUAUUGCAUUGUGAUUAGUUGAACCAAUGUAAUCAAUGGAUAUUGACAUAUAGAUUGAUGUCAUUUUAGAAGCAAUUCUUUAGUCAUGUCCCAAGCACUCUCCUUUGUCCAAUUUUGUUCAGUAAUUUUAAGCAAUAGAUAAAAGCAUGAAGAACACGUCUAUCAGGUAAUAUUAGCAUACUCUGUAAUUCAAAGGUACCAAAAUGUAAUUUUUUCUUCUGUAUAUUUGAAUUCAACUUUUAAGUCCUAGAGCACACAAUCUAUUGUAUUCCAUUUUGUGAUGCUGUUUUUUCCUAGUCAAUUUACAUGCUAUUAUCUCAGUCUUAAUCCAUUCACUUUGGCAUAAAGCACAGUCUUUCAGGACUUCUUUCCCCUCCCUCUCAUUUUUUCUUUCUUCCAGAAGACAUCUGUGCACAGAGGGAAGCUUUCAGAAAUAACAACAUGGCCACAGGAGGAGGGCUUUCUGGCCUCUGUGUCCUUUUCCAGUUUCUGUUGGUGGUCAAAGGGUCCCCAACCUGGCCUCUGGACUUGGAUCAGCAUCUGCUGGUGUCUGACAAUCCUACCUGGCUCUCAGCUGUGAUGAUAUCAUAGUCUGUGUCUCCUGUAGGUACCCCUGACCACGUCUUUCAUUCCCUCUGUCCUCUCAAUAUCUCACAUGCUCUGACCAAGCUGGAGGGAACGGGGAACACUACCUCAGAACCAUUGUCCUGAUGACAUUCCACUGCUCUGAACCACAGGGCAAUCUAUGAGUGAUCACUCUCCAGGAGAGCAAGGCAUAAACCUUGUGUGUGCCAAGAGUCUUGCCCCACCUACUCAGGAUUUCUAGGACCUCCUUUUUCUUCCAGCUGCCCCCAGACUUUGAGCGUCUAAAUUGUGAUAUUAGGAAACCUGGUAGCAGAUUAGGGAAGAGGUGGUCACAAUAAUUCAGUUCACCUAGAUGAAGGUCAGCCAUAUGGAAAGAAACUUUUCCAACUGAAGGAAUCUCCCCCAAGUGAUGGAAAUAUGACUUUAGAUACAAGUCUGUCCAACCUGAAAGCUGGUCUUUCAGUGUCAUAGGAGUGUGUUGAUAGUUCAACCUUGAGGAUAAUUAAGAAAAUAUACACAAUAUACCUAUGGCUGAUUCUUAUUGAUGUUUGGCAGAAAAACAACACAAUUCUGUAAGGCAAUUAUCCUUCCAGGUCUCCCACAUUUCAGGCAGAUUCUUUACUGUCUGAGCCACCAGGGAAGCCCUCAAUUAAAAAAUAAAUACAUUUAAAAUAAAAAAAAGCUUGAAUCACAGAUUAAAAAAAAUACACAAAAUAACUGACAUGUAACUAAUCCUCAAUAAAUGGUCAUUAUUCUGAGCAUCCUCCUAGGUAUUUGGGCUGACUCAACCAAGUUUCUUUAAGAAACCACUAAUCUAUCAACUUGCUUAAGAACCUGAGCCAAACACAAUUCCCAACACAUAUCCUAGCAUUCCUAUUACAUCAGAGUCCUAGAAGCAUUGGCUGUUGCUCUCUCACAAGUCACUGGAUGUUGACAUCCUUGAAUGUCAGGAGCAGGUCUGGUUGCCAGUACUGAAGAGGUAAAGGCAGGGGUCAGUGUCAGAUGCGGUGGGAAAGCUCUGCUAAGUUUACCCUCUGGGCAUAAGUCUACUUCUCCUUAUCAGUAGUUUGUCAUGUUGAAUUUGCCAUUUUGCCAAAGACAGCAGCAGAAAGGGAGUUUCUGAAGGGUAAGGUGGUAGAAGAAUACAGAGACAGGAAACCCACAGCUAGCAUUUGUCUCAUUAAAAUCUGUCAAAGCCAGAGGAACAGAAGGCAGCAAAGAGCUAAAAUCAGAUGUCACUAGCUCUCAGAGUAUGUUGACAUGUGGGAGAGCAAACUGUAGUGACAACGUGCCCUUCAGCUGCCGUGGCUCUCGGCUGGUAAUAAUAAAGCCCUUUGCAGGCUGCAGUGGGGAGGCAGACAGCAGUCUCACGCUCGAGGACAGUUACAGCUGAUGGGCUGCAGGACCCUUGCAAUGACUUAUUGCCUUUAAAGAAACGUUUUGUCUUGGCAAGAUCGGCUUAGGAAAACCAGUGUGAUUUUAUUUGUGGAUAUAGACUCAUCAUGAUGCGUUCAAAUCAUCACCUUUUUACCUGUACCUGUAAGACUGAAAAUAUUUAAGCUUAUAUUAAAGGAAUAAAUAGAAUCUUAUCAAUCCAAAUUUUUGCAUAUUGGAUGCUAUCAAUGGUAGAGUAACUCUUAGAAUGGAUGAAGUAAAAUAAUGGCUUGCUUAAAGGUAGUGUGAUAGAGUGGGAAAAGCAGGGACUCUGGAGGCCUACAGAUAGGGGUUCAAAUUCUGGCUCUCCACUUACUGAGGAUGUCUGCUUGGGCAAUAUAUGUAAUUUCUUUGUAACUCAGCUUCCCUCAUCUUCAAAGGAGGGGUGCUUAUUUCUUGCUUUUAGAGUUAUUCUGAGUAUUUGUUGAAAUCACACAUCGUAUACCAUAUAUGGCAUAAUGCGUGCAUGCUUGGUGGUAUCCAACUCUUUGCAACCCCAUGG